GAUGAAGAACGUAGCGAAAUGCGAUACGUAAUGUGAAUUGCAGAAUUCAGUGAAUCAUCGAAUCUUUGAACGCAUAUUGCGCUCUCUGGUAUUCCGGAGAGCAUGCUUGUUUGAGUAUCAGUAAACACCUCAACUUCCAUAUCUUUUUUGAAAUGGGAGUUGGACUUGAGUGAUCCCAACGCUUUUCCUCACCGGAAAGUGGCGGGUUACUUGAAAUGCAGGUGCAGCUGGACUUUUCUCUGAGCUAUAAGCAUAUCUAUUUAGUCUGCCUAAAAAACAGAUUAUUACCUUUGCUGCAGCUAACAUAAAGGAGAUUAGUUCUUGUGCUGACUGAUGCAGGAUUCACAAAGACAGGCUUCGGCCGACUUUGUAAACUCGAUCUCAAAUCAAGUAAGACUACCCGCUGAACUUAAGCAUAUCAAUAAGCGGAGGA
rnacentral:misc_RNA from 1 species